rnacentral:rRNA from 1 species
UACGUAGGGGGCAAGCGUUGUCCGGAUUUAUUGGGCGUAAAGAGCGUGUAGGUGGCCAUGUAGGUCCGCUGUGAAACUCGAGGCUCAACCUCGAGCUGUCGGUGGAAACCACAUGGCUAGAGUCCGGAAGAGGAGAGUGGAAUUCCUGGAUGUAGCGGUGAAAUGACGCAGAUAUCAGGAAGAACACCAAUGGCGAAGGCAGCUCUCUGGGACGGUACUGACACUGAGACGCGAAAGCGUGGGGAGCGAACAGG